GUUGAACGCUGGCGGCGUGCCUAAUACAUGCAAGUCGAGCGAACAGACGAGGAGCUUGCCCCGCUUACGUUGGCGGCGGACGGGUGAGUACCACGUGGAUAACCUACCUAUAAGACUGGGAUAACUUCGGGAGACCGGAUCUAAUACCGGAUAAUAUAUUGAACGGCAUGGUUCAUUAGUGAAAGACGUUUUUGCUGUCACUAAUAGGUGGUUCCACGUCGGUUUAGCUAGUUGGUAAGGUAACGGCCUACCAAGGCGACGAUCCGUCACUGACCUGAGAGGAUGAUCAGUCACACUGGAACUGAGACACGGUCCAGACUCCUACGGGAGGCAGCAGUGGGGAAUAUUGGACAAUGGGCGAAAGCCUGAUACAGCCAUGCCGCGUGUGUGAAGAAGGUCUUCGGAUUGUAAAGCACUUUAAGUUGGGAGGAAGGGCAGUAAGUUAAUACCUUGCUGUUUUGACGUUACCAACAGAAUAAGCACCGGCUAACUUCGUG
rnacentral:rRNA from 1 species